rnacentral:rRNA from 1 species
GACGAACGCUGGCGGCGUGCCUAAUACAUGCAAGUAGAACGCACAGUUUAUACCGUAGCUUGCUACACCAUAGACUGUGAGUUGCGAACGGGUGAGUAACGCGUAGGUAACCUGCCUGGUAGCGGGGGAUAACUAUUGGAAACGAUAGCUAAUACCGCAUAAUAUUGAUUAUUGCAUGAUAAUUAAUUGAAAGGUGCAAUUGCACCACUACCAGAUGGACCUGCGUUGUAUUAGCUAGUAGGUGAGGUAACGGCUCACCUAGGCGACGAUACAUAGCCGACCUGAGAGGGUGAUCGGCCACACUGGGGCUGAGACACGGCCCAGACUCCUACGGGAGGCAGCAGUAGGGAAUCUUCGGCAAUGGACGAAAGUCUGACCGAGCAACGCCGCGUGAGUGAAGAAGGUUUUCGGAUCGUAAAGCUCUGUUGUAAGAGAAGAACGGGUGUGAGAGUGGAAAGUUCACACUGUGACGGUAUCUUACCAGAAAGGGACGGCUAACUACGUG